GACGAACGCUGGCGGCGUGCUUAACACAUGCAAGUCGAACGGAAAGGCCCUGCUCUUGCUGGGUGCUCGAGUGGCGCACGGGUGUGUAACACGUGUGUAACCCGCCCCUGUCUUUGUGAUAACUUCAGGAAACUGGGGCUAAUACCGGAUAGGAGCUCCUGCUGCACGGUGGGGGUUGGAAAGUUUCGGCGGUUGGGGAUGGUUUCGCGGCUUAUCCGCUUGUUGGUGGGGUAGUGGCUUACCAAGGGUUUGACGGGUAGCCGGCCUGAGAGGGGGACCGGGGACAAGGGGACUGAGAGACGCAGCAGACGCCAACGGGAGGCAGCAGGGGAGAGUAUGGCGGAGUGGGCGGGAGCCUGAGGCAGAAACCCCGCGUGCGUGAUAACGGCCUUCGAGGGGUAAACCGCUUUCGCCUGUGACGAGGAGUGAGUGACGGUAAUGGGUAAGGAAGCACCGGCUAACUACGUG
rnacentral:rRNA from 1 species